rnacentral:rRNA from 1 species
UACGUAGGCAGCGAGCGUUUGUUCGGAAUUACUGGGCGUAAAGAGUGUGUAGGCGGUGCUCUAAGUUCGGUGUGAAAUCUCCUGGCUCAACUGGGAGGGUGCGCCGGAAACUGGAGUGCUUGAGCGUGGGAGAGGAAAGCGGAAUUCCUGGUGUAGCGGUGAAAUGCGUAGAUAUCAGGAGGAACACCUGUGGUGUAGACGGCUUUUCUGGACCAUAGCUGACGCUGAGACACGAAAGCGUGGGUAGCAAACAGG